GUCCACACGGUAAACGAUGGAUACUCGCUGUUGGCGAUAUACUGUCAGCGGCCAAGCGAAAGCAUUAAGUAUCCCACCUGGGGAGUACGCCGGCAACGGUGAAACUCAAAGGAAUUGACGGGGGCCCGCACAAGCGGAGGAACAUGUGGUUUAAUUCGAUGAUACGCGAGGAACCUUACCCGGGCUUAAAUUGCAGACGAAUUACGAGGAAACUUGUAAGCCGCAAGGCGUCUGUGAAGGUGCUGCAUGGUUGUCGU
rnacentral:rRNA from 1 species